AGUGAACGCUGGCGGUAGGCCUAACACAUGCAAGUCGAACGGCAGCACAGUAAGAGCUUGCUCUUACGGGUGGCGAGUGGCGGACGGGUGAGGAAUACAUCGGAAUCUACUUUUUCGUGGGGGAUAACGUAGGGAAACUUACGCUAAUACCGCAUACGACCUAGGGGUGAAAGCAGGGGAUCUUCGGACCUUGCGCGAUUGAAUGAGCCGAUGUCGGAUUAGCUAGUUGGCGGGGUAAAGGCCCACCAAGGCGACGAUCCGUAGCUGGUCUGAGAGGAUGAUCAGCCACACUGGAACUGAGACACGGUCCAGACUCCUACGGGAGGCGGCAGUGGGGAAUAUUGGACAAUGGGCGCAAGCCUGAUCCAGCCAUACCGCGUGGGUGAAGAAGGCCUUCGGGUUGUAAAGCCCUUUUGUUGGGAAAGAAAAGCAGCAGGUUAAUACCCCGCUGUUCUGACGGUACCCAAAGAAUAAGCACCGGCUAACUUCGUG
rnacentral:rRNA from 1 species